UACGGAGGGUGCAAGCGUUAAUCGGAAUUACUGGGCGUAAAGCGUGUGUAGGCGGUUUAUUAAGUCGGAUGUGAAAGCCCCGGGCUCAACCUGGGAAUUGCAUUCGAUACUGAUAAACUUGAAUUUGGUAGAGGGAAGUGGAAUUCCGGGUGUAGCGGUGAAAUGCGUAGAUAUCCGGAGGAACAUCAGUGGCGAAGGCGGCUUCCUGGACCAAAAUUGACGCUGAGGCACGAAAGCGUGGGUAGCAAAC
rnacentral:rRNA from 1 species